CGAGUGAAGCGGCAACAGCUCAAAUUUGAAAUCUGGCCCCCAGGCCCGAGUUGUAAUUUGCAGAGGAUGCUUUGGGCGCGGCGCCUUCCGAGUUCCCUGGAACGGGACGCCACAGAGGGUGAGAGCCCCGUCUGGUUGGAUGCCUAGCCUAUGUAAAGCUCCUUCGACGAGUCGAGUAGUUUGGGAAUGCUGCUCUAAACGGGAGGUAUAUGUCUUCUAAAGCUAAAUAUUGGCCAGAGACCGAUAGCGCACAAGUAGAGUGAUCGAAAGAUGAAAAGCACUUUGAAAAGAGGGUUAAAUAGUACGUGAAAUUGUUGAAAGGGAAGCGCUUACGACCAGACUUGGGCCCGGCGGAUCACCCGGCGUUCUUCGCCGGGGCACUCCGCCGGCCCAGGCCAGCAUCGGUUCGCCUUGGGGGAUAAAGGCGGUGGGAACGUAGCUCCCUCGGGAGUGUUAUAGCCCGCCGUGUAAUACCCUGCGGCGGACCGAGGACCGCGCAUCUGCAAGGAUGCUGGCGUAAUGGUCGUCAGCGACCCGUCUUGAAACACGGACCAAGGAGUCGUCUUCGUAUGCGAGUGUUCGGGUGGAAAACCCCUACGCGUAAUGAAAGUGAACGCAGGUGAGAGCUUCGGCGCAUCAUCGACCGAUCCUGAUGUUCUCGGAUGGAUUUGAGUAAGAGCAUACGGGGCCGGACCCGAAAGAAGGUGAACUAUGCCUGUAUAGGGUGAAGCCAGAGGAAACUCUGGUGGAGGCUCGCAGCGGUUCUGACGUGCAAAUCGAUCGUCAAAUAUGGGCAUGG
rnacentral:rRNA from 1 species